UAUGAAGGGGGCUAGCGUUGCUCGGAAUCACUGGGCGUAAAGCGCACGUAGGCGGAUCUUUAAGUCAGGGGUGAAAUCCCAAGGCUCAACCUUGGAACUGCCUUUGAUACUGGGGAUCUCGAGUCCGGAAGAGGUGAGUGGAACUGCGAGUGUAGAGGUGAAAUUCGUAGAUAUUCGCAAGAACACCAGUGGCGAAGGCGGCUCACUGGUCCGGUACUGACGCUGAGGUGCGAAAGCCAGGGGAGCGAACGGG
rnacentral:rRNA from 1 species